rnacentral:rRNA from 1 species
GACGAACGCUGGCGGCGUGCCUAACACAUGCAAGUUGAGCGACGAACCAGGGCUUGCCCUGGGGCAAAGCAGCGAACGGGUGAGUAACACGUGGGUAACCUACCCCGAUAACCAGGACAACCCGAGGAAACUCGGGCUAAUACCGGAUGUGCUCACUGGACUUCGGUUCAGUGCGUAAAGGAAGCUUCGGCCUCCGUAUCGGGAGGGGCCCGCGGCCCAUUAGUUUGUUGGUGAGGUAACGGCUCACCAAGACCGCGAUGGGUAGCUGGUCUGAGAGGACGAUCAGCCACACUGGGACUGAGACACGGCCCAGACUCCUACGGGAGGCAGCAGUGGGGAAUCUUGCGCAAUGCGCGAAAGCGUGACGCAGCAACGCCGCGUGGGGGAAGAAGGCCUUCGGGUUGUAAACCCCUUUCAGGAGGGACGAAGGUUCGGCGGUGAAUAGCCGUCCGGACUGACGGUACCUCCACAAGAAGCCCCGGCUAACUACGUG